UAAGUACUCCCUCCGUCCGAAAAUACUUGUCAUCAAAAUAGAUAAAAAAGGAUGUAUGUAGAACUAAAAUACAUCUAGAUACAUCCCAUUUUAUUCAUUUUGAUGACAAGUAUUUCGGGACGGAAGGAGUAGGUC
rnacentral:pre_miRNA from 1 species